UUUUAAGAAUCGUAAAGAGAUUUGUAUGUAUAUAUACAUAGAUGUGUGUGUGUGCAUGUGUGUGUAAUUUCAUUUGCUUCUCCUAAUAACCUUAUAAGGUGGAAGGUAUUAUUCACCCCCCCCAAAAUAUUGAAGAGUUUUAGUCAUACAAUAGAAGUCAGAGAAAGGACUUGUCUCAGCAUCCUUAGAUAAUUGAGAUCCCCCUCCCCCCCAGGGACUUCCAGGAAUGACCCAGGUGGGGAAUCGCACCCCAGAGAGGAGACAGGGUUCAUUCCUCCACAUCGGUGCUCCUCACCAUAUUGCAUUUUUGUUGACAGGUCUCCUCCAGUUGCCACUGCACCCCAUUGCUUCCCCAUCACUCCAUUCAAGGGCUCCUCGAAUUAUGGUGUCAACCUGAGACAGCUCAUUCCAUUUUCUGACAAGUCGUACUGCACAGAAGUUUGCUGGAAUGGGACCUGCAGCUCCUGGUGAGGCGUUCUCUGCACACAGGGGUAACUCGGUAAAUGUUUGCUUACUCUCCAAACACUGCAUCCACCUAAUGGAAGUAGGAGCUAGAAAAUUAGAUUGUUUCACUUGUUGACAAGAGGCAGCAGUGGUCUAGUGGAAGGAGAGUUUGGACCUGGAGCCGACAGAGAAAGAAAGGAAAUAGGCAUUUAUUAUAUAUUACACACCUGCUGUGUGCUAAGCGCUUUACAAAUAUUAUCUCAUUUAAUCCUCCCAACAACCUUGGAGCAGGUGCUAUUAAUAGUCUUAUUUUACAGCUGAGGUGAUUGAGGCAGAUAGAGGUUAAGAGACUUGCCCAAGGUCACACAGCUGGUAACUGUCUGAGGCUGCAUUUCACCAUAGGUCUGUCCUAACUUCGAAGCAGUUAGAUGGCACAGUGGAUAGAGUGCCCAUCCUGGAGUCAGGAAAACCUGAGUUCAAAUCUGGCCUCAGACACUUACUAGCUAUGUGACCCUGGGCAAGGAACUUGACUCUAUUUGCCUCAGUUUCCUGAUUUGUAAAAUGAGCUGGAGAGGGAAAUGGCAAACCACUCUAGGAUCUUUGCCAAGAAAAUCCCAGAUGGGGUCAGGAAGAGUCAGACACCACUGAAAAUGACUGAACAACAACACCUUUCCUGAAUCCGGGCUGAGCGCUCUAUCCACUGUACCACCGAGCUGCCUCAAACAAGGUUUGAAUCCUGCUGCCUCAUACUCAUAAAUCUGUAUGAUUUUGGCAAGUCACUUAACCUAGCUUGGCCUCCAGUUUGUUUGUGUGGAAAAAAGUGAUGAUAAUACAUACUUAAUUCACAGGGUUGUUUUGGGGUAGCCCUGUAAGGCACAUGGCUCAAAUGUACUUUGAAAACCUUAAAGUGUAUUAUGAAAGUAAGUUAUU
rnacentral:lncRNA from 1 species